CUCCAACCUCUAGUUUUGUUAAUUAUUACCGGAUACGAUCGAAAUAAACGGAACAACGUCAAUGACAGCUGCGCCACCAAGCGUGGGAUGAAGGAGAAGCGAGGUCCUGAUCGAUAUUAUAUAAUGAAUAUCGAUCGUUCGAGAUAUCGAUAGUUGUUGAUAAUAAUUGAUGGAUUAUUAUCGAGAGAUUAUAUAUCGAGGGAACGAAAUAUAUCUUUGAAAAUUGUCACUAGAUACUUUGAAUAUUGCUCGUGAUUAAAAAUGUCGAAGUUAUAAAAAGAUCACGAUCUAGAAAAGGAUAAGAAGAUUAGUUUGAAACCAUCUUAUCUAAAAUAACUAAAAGGAAAGUUUACAACGAAGCAGAAAUGUUAUUUUAGUAAAUAAACUUCCGGGAUAACAUUAUAAAACGAAGAUUGAGGUCAUUCUGUUUGUUAUAUGAAACUAGAAGCUUACUUACACAUUCUUUGAUCGAAUAAAAUCAAACUUCCUUUGAUAAUAUGAUUGAAAAUUGGAUAUUUGGUGUAAAUUAUUUU